CCCGUAUCAAAUAUUGGAUUGACAAAUUCAAGUGGGUAAGGUGGGUGAGGUGAAUCACAGGGCAUUAACCUCCUGAACUUGAAUUUCUUCAAUUGGUUCAUUCAGAAAAUUCAUCUUUACAAGUGAUUUGACAGGUGGUUGCUAUUAUGGAUGAACUCUCUGAUCACUAGAUGAAAAAAUUUCAUGAGUUAUUUUAAAUAUUUGAUCUGGCCA
rnacentral:lncRNA from 1 species